AAGACCACCCAGCAAGGAGGGCAGGAGGAGCCUCAUCUCACCACAGAAAAAGGGACGAAAUGAACCUGGGAACAGCUCCGUUGGUGUUAGGGGUCACCAGGCCCCACCACCAGGAAAAGACAAGAACAGCCACUACCACAUGCUCUGAGGACGCUAGUCCUUCUGGAACUGUGGGCCUCAGAAGGAAGCAGACUAAGAUGCUCCUUCUUCCCACCAAUACACCCCACGUCUGGGUGGCUCCUGAUGACUUUUCGAUGUUGGCAGAUGUUUUGUGAUGUCCUGACCUCAAAACUAGGUUAAAGAGAAAGAAGACAGUGAACUUUGCUGAACCUACCCCAUGGGG
rnacentral:lncRNA from 1 species